AACGUACGCUGGCGGCACGCCUAACACAUGCAAGUCGAACGAAGUAGCAAUACUUAGUGGCAGACGGGUGAGUAACAUGUGGGUAUCUACCCUUUGGCCUGGAAUAACACGAGGAAACUUGUGCUAAUACCGGAUAAGUCUUUGCGGAGAAAGCUUUAUGCUCCAUUGGAGGAGCCCGCACUUGAUUACUUUGUUGGUAGGGUAAUGGCCUACCAAGGGUAUGAUCAAUAGCUGAUUUGAGAGGAUGAUCACCCACACUGGGGGUGAGACACGGCCCAAACUCUUACGGGAGGCAGCAGUGGGGAAUCUUGCACAAUGGAGGAAACUCUGAUGCAGCGAUGCCGCGUGAGUGAAGAAGGCCUGUGGGUUGUAAAGCUCUUUCGUCGGGGAAGAAAAUGACUGUACCCGAAUAAGAAGGUCCGGCUAACUUCGUGCCAGCAGCCGCGGUAAUACGAAGGGACCUAGCGUAGUUCGGAAUUACUGGGCUUAAAGAGUUCGUAGGUGGUUGAAAAAGUUGGAGGUGAAAUCCCAGAGCUCAACUCUGGAACUGCCAUCAAAACUUUUCAGCUAGAGUAUGAUAGAGGAAAGCAGAAUUUCUAGUGUAGAGGUGAAAUUCGUAGAUAUUAGAAAGAAUACCAAUUGCGAAGGCAGCUUUCUGGAUCAUUACUGACACUGAG
rnacentral:rRNA from 1 species